UCUGCAGUAAAAGAGAAGAAAACAACUUUCACUGAAACACAUUUUUACAAGUGAAAACAUAAAUCUUGGUACAUGGUGUUUUCUUUUGAAAAGUGACGACAAAAAACCACAUUGCAGAAUUCAUUUGUACUUUUUGUCCAUGGUUCCAUUUCAAAUGGUCUCACUUCACUAGCAAUUCUUUUUCCUCUCAGCUGUGAAUUCAUAUCAAUGUCAGGCAAAGUGGCUGUUCUUUUCAUGACUCCCUAUCAGUCACAAAUGCUUUUCAGCAUAAAACAGUCUUGAUUACUCAUGACAUCGCAUUAAAUUCAAAUUAUGACCUCAUUUGUUCUAUCUAAAGAAACCCAUUGAUUUUUUUCACAAAUGCAAACUGGAACAUAGUUAACAAUCCUGUUGAUGUGCAAGAAGGAAGGCAAUCCAAUUCUCUUAUGGCCAUGCUAAUAUUAUAAGGUAGGUAUUAGGAGGAGCAUGAAUUUAUUACAAUAAAUUAUUUUAAAUGUGAAUGACAUUGUGCACUGUUUCGUGUCACACUUAGCUUUUCUGACAGUAAUCACAAUUGCUUUCUAUGAAAUCUUACAGAUCCUUACUGUCACUAUAAAAGUCCGUGUCUUGUAAAAGUAUUCUCUUAUGUAAUGAACUAGACUAUGGGUAGCUUGGAAACCUAGUAUUCACAGGUGUGCAUCAUCUGUCAUUAGGUAGAAUAUUGGACCCAGUGGGCUUGCAGCCAAUUUGAAAUCCUCUGCUCUACAUCCCUGUGUUCCCUGAAGUUGGCAUGGCACAAUUAAAUGUACUGUACAGUACACUGUUGCAAAUAAAUUAAAACUGAAAUAUCUAGCAAAGAUUUGUGCUAAAUAACUGAGAUGCCACUUUAUCCCCUGCAUGCAUAAGGAAAGGGUGUUUUCAGAAGCCUUUGAUCAAUCCUUAGCUACAUAGGAAAGUCAAAAUGUAAGGCUUCACCUACCACUUUUCCCUUUUCCCUUUAGCAGAAAUUCAGGAAGGACAACACUAAUACUAGCAACAUUUUAACUUCCUGGUACAGGAGCUGCACAGCCUAGAACUAAGAAUGCAAGAGUCACCAGGACUGUGGUAAACAAGACACAACUGCUUCUUAAGAAAAUGUUCAAGAGAAAUGGGGUGUCAGUGGUAUGUUGUGGAUCUCUUUUUGGUCUGUCCAGUAUGGGUACCUAUCCUGGGCAUCUGGACAAACAGGAACUUAGAAGUCAGAUAUAUAUAAGCGUGUAACUUCCAGAACACAGACAUCUUCCCUAGUUCUAGCCUCGGACAAAAUCUUGCCUGAGAGUCAGAACAAUGGAAAGCCAAAUAAAUUACAAAUCAUGGCAUCUAAUCUAUGAUUUUUGCCAGGGUUCUGGGAAGUGUUAUGUAAGAAUAAUACUCAGUUUUAGAGUAAAUUGUGAAGUACA